rnacentral:rRNA from 1 species
UACAGAGGGGGCCAGCGUUAUUCGGAAUUAUUGGGCGUAAAGGGCGCGUAGGCGGCCAUUCAAGUGACGGGUGAAAUCCCUCGGCUUAACCGAGGAACUGCCUGUCAGACUGGAUGGCUUGAGACCGGGAGAGGUGAGUGGAAUUCCCAGUGUAGCGGUGAAAUGCGUAGAUAUCGGGAGGAACACCUGCGGUGUAGACGGCUUACUGGACCAUAACUGACGCUGAGGCACGAAAGCGUGGGUAGCAAACAGG